rnacentral:misc_RNA from 1 species
GUCCACCUGGCUGACCGCCCACUCAAGUGCCCCUGGAAAGGUUGCAAGAUGACAUUCAAAUGGGCAUGGGCUCGAACUGAACACAUAAGGGUUCACACAGGAGCUCGUCCUUAUGUGUGUGCGGAGGAAGGUUGUGGACAGACGUUCAGAUUCGUGUCAGAUUUCAGCCGUCACAAGCGGAAGACUGGUCAUUCAGUGAAGAAAAGCAGGGGUUAAUUUAAUUAAUUAGAGAAAUGUAAUUUAACAUUGCUAAUGGAAGGUAGGA